CUCAAACUCAUUGUCUCUACAAAAAUAAGACUAUAUAUAUAACUAAAGAUGACAAAGAACUCUAUUGUAAUUUGCUUGCUUUCUCUGAUGAUUUUGUUGACAUGUUUCACUCCGUCUCUAGGUACCAUGUUAUUUCCUUAAUUUUCUUGAAAAUGUUACAUGUCUUUAUGCUAUGUUUUUUAUCCAAGUUUUGUUACAUGUCAGGAAUUAAGUAUUGCCCGGCUCCAAGUAUUCCAAGGACAGGUGGAUGUGCCAAUGCAGGACAAGACUGCUUUUUGUUAGUAUUGGGAAAAUACCCAGCAAGUGCCAUGCCCACUCACAUUAAAUGUGUAGAUGUUGGCCCAAAUCAAAGCAAAUGCACCUGUGACAUUGUAUGUGGAAAAUGAGUGCGAACUCAUUAUUCAAAUCAAUAAUUUCUUUUCAAAUAAAUAGUAAAAACAUUUAUAAUUGAACUUAUUUAUUUUCGCGGGUUUCUUUGACGUAUGUCUUCGUAUCAAAUUAUUCAGUUUUUCUCCAGAUUGGUCGGAUUAAAUAAUUAAACUCAACUCGAUUGGU
rnacentral:lncRNA from 1 species